rnacentral:rRNA from 1 species
GUGCCAGCAGCCGCGGUAAUACAGGGGGUGCAAGCGUUGCUCGGAAUUACUGGGCGUAAAGCGAGCGCAGGCGGCCGAUUAAGUCAGAGGUGAAAGCCCGGGGCUCAACCCCGGAAAUGCCUUUGAAACUGGUAGGCUUGAAUGCAGGAGAGGGUCGCGGAAUUCUUGGUGUAGAGGUGAAAUUCGUAGAUAUCAGGAAGAACACCAGUGGCGAAAGCGGCGACCUGGCCUGACAUUGACGCUCAUGCUCGAGAGCGUGGGGAGCAAACAGGAUUAGAUACCCGUGUAGUCC